CCUCCGUAGGUGAACCUGCGGAGGGAUCAUUACAGAGUUCUCGCCCUCGCGGGUAGAUCUCCCACCCACUGUUAUCGUUACUGUGUUGCUUUGGCGGGCCGCCGGGCCCCGCUCGGCCGCCGGCUCCGGCUGGCGCGCGCCCGCCAGAGGCCCAGCAAACUCUGAAUGUUAGUGUCGUCUGAGUACUAUAUAAUAGUUAAAACUUUCAACAACGGAUCUCUUGGUUCUG
rnacentral:misc_RNA from 1 species